AUUGAACGCUGGCGGAAUGCUUUACACAUGCAAGUCGAACGGUAGAGGGGGCAACCCCUCGAGAGUGGCGAACGGGUGAGUAAUAUAUCGGAACGUGCCCAGUCGUGGGGGAUAACGUAGCGAAAGUUACGCUAAUACCGCAUACGAUCUAAGGAUGGAAGCGGGGGAUCGCAAGACCUCGCGCGAUUGGAGCGGCCGAUAUCAGAUUAGGUAGUUGGUGGGGUAAAGGCUCACCAAGCCAACGAUCUGUAGCUGGUCUGAGGGGACGACCAGCCACACUGGAACUGAGACACGGUCCAGACUCCUACGGGAGGCAGCAGUGGGGAAUUUUGGACAAUGGACGCAAGUCUGAUCCAGCCAUACCGCGUGCAGGAUGAAGGCCCUCGGGUUGUAAACUGCUUUUGUACGGAACGAAAAGGUCUCUCUUAAUACGGGGGGCUCAUGACGGUACCGUAAGAAUAAGCACCGGCUAACUACGUGCCAGCCGCCGCCGUAA
rnacentral:rRNA from 1 species